rnacentral:rRNA from 1 species
GACGAACGCUGGCGGCGUGCUUAACACAUGCAAGUCGAACGAAGAGCGAUGGAAGCUUGCUUCUAUCAAUCUUAGUGGCGGACGGGUGAGUAACGCGUAAUCAACCUGCCCUUCAGAGGGGGACAACAGUUGGAAACGACUGCUAAUACCGCAUACGAUCUAAUCUCGGCAUCGAGGAUAGAUGAAAGGUGGCCUCUACAUGUAAGCUAUCACUGAAGGAGGGGAGUGCGUCUGAUUAGCUAGUUGGCGGGGUAAGGGCCCACGCAGGCGAUGAUCAGUAGCCGGUCGGAGAGGAUGGACGGCCACAUUGGGACUGAGACCCGGCCCAUACUCCUACGGGAGGCAGCCGUGGGGAUUCUUCCGCAAUGGACGAAAGUCUGACGGAGCAACGCCGCGUGAGUGAUGACGGCCUUCGGGUUGUAAAGCUCUGUUAAUCGGGACGAAAGGCCUUCUUGCGAAUAGUGAGAAGGAUUGACGGUACCGGAAUAGAAAGCCACGGCUAACUACGUG